rnacentral:rRNA from 1 species
CCUACGGGAGGCAGCAGUGGGGAAUUUUCCGCAAUGGGCGAAAGCCUGACGGAGCAAUACCGCGUGAGGGAGGAAGGCCUUUGGGUUGUAAACCUCUUUUAAUAGGGAAGAAAAAAAUGACGGUACCUAUUGAAUAAGCAUCGGCUAACUCCGUGCCAGCAGCCGCGGUAAUACGGAGGAUGCAAGCGUUAUCCGGAAUUAUUGGGCGUAAAGUGUCCGUAGGCGGUCAAUCAAGUCUGCUGUUAAAGAAUGGAGCUUAACUCCAUCAAAGCAGUGGAAACUGGUAGACUAGAGUCUAGGAGGGGUAGAGGGAAUUCCCAGUGUAGCGGUGAAAUGCGUAGAGAUUGGGAAGAACACCAGUGGCGAAGGCGCUCUACUGGACUAGAACUGACGCUGAGGGACGAAAGCUAGGGUAGCGAAAGGGAUUAGAUACCCCUGUAGUCUUAGCUGUAAACGAUGGAUACUAGGCGUAGCUUGUAUCGACCCGAGCUGUGCCGAAGCUAACGCGUUAAGUAUCCCGCCUGGGGAGUACGCACGCAAGUGUGAAACUCAAAGGAAUUGACGG